rnacentral:tRNA from 1 species
GCGCCUGUAGCUCAGUUGGAUAGAGCAACGGACUUCUAAUCCGUAGGUCGGGGGUCCGAAUCCCUCCAGGCGCGCCA